ACAGUGAUGUGGAGCGAAACUCAAAAAAAUAAGUCUCAGUUCGGAUUGAGGGCUGAAAUUCGCCUUCAUGAAGCCGGAAUUGCUAGUAAUGGCAGGUCAGCAUACUGCCGUGAAUACGUUCCCGGGCCUUGUACACACCGCCCGUCACACCAUGAGAGUUGGGAAUACCCGAAGCCUGUGAGCUAACAUUUAUGAGGCAGCAGUCGGAGGUAGAAUCAAUGAUUGGGGUGAAGUCGUAACAAGGUAGC
rnacentral:rRNA from 1 species